CACGUAGUUAGCCGGUGCUUAUUCUUCAGGUACCGUCAUGAGUCCCAGGUAUUAACCAGAACCUUUUCUUCCCUGACAAAAGCGGUUUACAACCCGAAGGCCUUCUUCCCGCACGCGGCAUGGCUGGAUCAGGCUUGCGCCCAUUGUCCAAAAUUCCCCACUGCUGCCUCCCGUAGGAGUCUGGGCCGUGUCUCAGUCCCAGUGUGGCUGGUCGUCCUCUCAGACCAGCUACAGAUCGUUGGCUUGGUGGGCCUUUACCCCACCAACUACCUAAUCUGAUAUCGGCCGCUCCAAUCGCGCGAGGUCUUGCGAUCCCCCGCUUUCACCCUCAGGUCGUAUGCGGUAUUAGCUGCUCUUUCGAGCAGUUAUCCCCCACGACUGGGCACGUUCCGAUAUAUUACUCACCCGUUCGCCACUCGUCAGCUUAACCUGUUACCGUUCGACUUGCAUGUGUAAGGCAUGCCGCCAGCGUUCAAUCUGAGCCAGGAUCAAACUCU
rnacentral:rRNA from 1 species